UACGUAGGGGGCAAGCGUUGUCCGGAAUCAUUGGGCGUAAAGCGCGUGUAGGCGGGUCGGUAAGUCUGCUCUGAAAGUCCAAGGCUCAACCUUGGGAUGCGGGUGGAUACUGCCGACCUCGAGUCCGGAAGAGGCGAGUGGAAUCCUGGUGUAGCGGUGAAAUGCGCAGAUAUCAGGAGGAACACCAAUGGCGAAGGCAGCUCGCUGGGACGUGACUGACGCUGAGACGCGAAAGCGCGGGGAGCAAACAGG
rnacentral:rRNA from 1 species